ensembl:snoRNA small nucleolar RNA SNORA54
UCGCACUGUUCGUAACCUCUUGACAGCAUAUUUCUGUGAAUAGGUUCCAUUCCAGUGCUACAUGAAAUCCAGUAAUGGAAGGCUGACAAAUUCCAUGUCCCUUCUGUAUUUGGAGACAAAA